rnacentral:rRNA from 1 species
GACGAACGCUGGCGGCGUGCCUAAUACAUGCAAGUCGAGCGAAUCUUUUGGGAGCUUGCUCCCUUAAGAUUAGCGGCGGACGGGUGAGUAACACGUGGGUAACCUGCCUGUAAGACUGGGAUAACUUCGGGAAACCGGAGCUAAUACCGGAUAGGUUCUUUUCUCGCAUGAGGGAAGAUGGAAAGAUGGUUCUGCUAUCACUUACAGAUGGACCCGCGGCGCAUUAGCUAGUUGGUGAGUUAACGGCUCACCAAGGCGACGAUGCGUAGCCGACCUGAGAGGGUGAUCGGCCACACUGGGACUGAGACACGGCCCAGACUCCUACGGGAGGCAGCAGUAGGGAAUCUUCCGCAAUGGACGAAAGUCUGACGGAGCAACGUCGCGUGAGCGAAGAAGGCCUUCGGGUCGUAAAGCUCUGUUGUUAGGGAAGAACAAGUACGAGAGUAACUGCUCGUACCUUGACGGUACCUAACCAGAAAGCCACGGCUAACUACGUGCCAGCCGCCGCAGUAAUAC